UUACAAAGUAAUUAAAUAAAAAUUUUAUUAUCAUAAUAACAUUAAAAUUGAUUUUAAAUUCUGUUGAAGUUUUCUUAUAUUUGGUACUGUAUUAUGCCUAUCACAAUUUAGAGUGUAUACUACAUAUUUAAUCGUAAAUACAAUUAUACAAAUAUCAUUCGCACGCCAUAAUUAAUAAAAUAUUAUUAUACUCUAACGUUUUGAAUUCAAAAUAAACAAUUUUCGUGAUAUUGGAAUGUAUGUAUUAAAAACUUAUGUUUACUGAUAAUUAUUUGUUUUUCAACCAUAUCUCAUGUAUUCUUGUGAAUAAUUCUUUUUUUUAGCUUUGUCCGCAACCUAAUGUUAAAUAGAUACAUAUUAUAAAAAAAAACAAUAUAAUAUUAAAAACACUCAGAAAUAAAUUUUAUGAUUGUAGUAUAUGUAAUAGGUAUAAUACCAUCGUAAUGUAUUAUUAUGUACCUAAUUUUGCGCGUGCAUCCGAAUUGCAUGCCAAAAAAAAAACAUAAAUUGGGAUGUCCAAAUUGCGUGCCAUCUCUUGAAAGGGUUUGUCUGAAUUGCAUGCCAUCAGAUUAUCAGGUAUCAGCAAUAGUUUAUUUACUAUACCUACACUUAUUUAUUAGGUAUAACUUGAACUUUUUUUUUGAACUUUUCUAGUUUAACUUACUUUUCCACUGUAAGAACGGACUUUUGUUACAUUUAGCUUAGUAUAAUAAAACAAAUUUAUCAAUGGCAUUAUAAAAUGAAAUUGUUUUCACUUCAUCUCAUUCUAUUGAUGAUAUAGCUAUUCUGGUGAAUCGACUUUGAUAAAUUGUUGAUCUAAGAUAUUUUUUUAUAAUUUUUAGCUUGCUGAAGCUCCUUUUACAAGUAGCUUCAGUUUAAAAAUUGUCCAUAUUUUAUGAAUUUUUAAAUUUAAACGGUUAUAGUAGUAUGAUUUAGCCGAUUCUAAAACCGCAUCCACAUCCCGCAUCCCUCAUCCCGCAUCCUUAUCCCUCAUCCCUCAUCCAUCGCCCGCCGCCGCCAUAUCCACUACGUAACCGACAUCAAUUUUAUGUUAUCGCCAGUUAUCAUUAUCAUUGUUAUAAUUUUCUUAUCAGUGUUAUCAUUUUCUUAUCACUGUUAUCAUUUUAUUAUCAACUGUUAUCAUAUAUUGUUAUCAUAUAUUAUUUUAAUAACGUAAAGAAAAAUGUACAAAAAAUCUGGUCUUAGGGUUGAUCCUUAUACCCCCAUUAUAAUCGAAGACGUCUUUUCCCACUUCGACUCUGACUCCAUUGAUGAUGGAAAUCAAAACUGUUAUACUUAAGAAUAAAAUCUAAUUUAAUAGUCAUUGGCAAUUUUAGCAUACACAUCCCAUCAAAUGUCUUUAAGUGGUCAUAUUAUAAUAGUGAUACUUAAUAGAGUCUGUCGCCGCACAUUAAGGUAUUAUAAAGAAUGUAUACACAUUAGCGCAUCCAGUAGGCAUAUAAUUAAAUGUAAUAGUCAUUGGCAAUUUUAGCAGACACAUUAAUACAUCUGAAUUAAAUGUAAAAAAAUUAUUGAUGUUUAAUAGCAGGCACAUUAGCAAAUCUGGAUAUUAUAUUGUGGUAAAUUUCCAAAACUUUCGUAAUAUUCUACUUUUUUUCCGAUUUUUUUAUACGCUACCCAAUGAUUUCCUGUACUUUUUGUCGUAUCCAAGUUGAUAAUCCCAGAUUCUAAGUGUUUAGGACGAACUGGCAACUUAUCUCUGGUAAACACAUCGAUGAAAUGAGGUAUAUCGCGAGCGAAUUUUAAGAGUUCGUAAUCGUACAACGCUCUAUUGGGUAACGUAGCUAUUAGUUUUUUUCGUUUGUACACCCCUUCCAGUUUUAUUCGGUGUUACUAUUUUAUAUGAGUUACCUUUAUACGGUGCGAAAUAUACUUCAUUACCUAAAUGUGAUGGCGUUUUUCUAUUAAAUUCAUUUGCCAUCUUAACAACGUUAGCAACACCGCCAGUUAGAGCUCCCAUAGACCGGCGAAAAUCGGAAUGAGCGGUAACACACCGCCUUUUUUCGGUACUGUUAUUACUUAUUAUUCUUGAAGCUUUCGUUUUCUUAGUUGUAAAUGUUUUUCGUGCUACGGCUACAUAUUUUUUGCUCAAUUUCAACAAUUUUUUUUCGCCUAUAUUUUUCUUGAUAACAUUUUUGGCUGCUUUGAUCGCCGCUUUGUAUCCACAACCACCACCGAUUUUUCGUUUUGUCUUCAUGGCAGUAGUCACGCCCCAAGCUACAGCUUUUUCUUUUAAACUAGAAUCUUUUGACUUUAACCUGUCCCAGGCUCUUUGUUCUAAUAUAUGGUCAGCUUCGUUACGAUCUGUGAUAGAGUUACUGCGCUCGUAUGCUAUGUCAUGAUCUCUACAAGCAGAGUCUAGUAGGUUUAUACCUUUAUCGCCUCGAGCUAAUCAUUUUUUCAAAUUUGUACCCGGUCCACAGUAUUGAUAACCCAAAAAAAAAAAUAUUAUUAUUAUUAUUAUUAUUAUGAUAAUAUCGGAUUUAAUAAACUUACCAGGCACGUGAAGUUCGAUCGGUAGUUUGUUUAUAAGUGUGUUGAUAAGACCACCACCUUUAUUCUUGUUGCUUCUUCGAGCUGGUGUCAUUCUCAGUCUGGCGAAACAAAAAAAAAAUAUUUCAAAUCUCAAACAGUCGAUUAAAUCGUUUUCGGCUAAAUUAGAUAAAAUCGAGCAUUUACUCGAAGAAAAUCAUAAAUCCGCUCAAGUACAAGAAGAAAAAAAGGAAACAAUACAAUUAAUGUGUGUACAGAUAGCUGAGCAUAUGACAAGAGGUGAAGUAUCAUUACAAUCAAUCAAAGAAAGUAUAGAAGUGUUAAAAAACAUAAUACCUGCUAUACUCAGCCGUCUUAAUACUAUUGAAACGUAUUGUAAAGACAAGUCAUAAUGUCUUCGGCAAUCUUAGACAUGCAAUGCGUACUUGGAGUCAACAGUAAAUACAUGGUUAAAGAGAUGUCUAUAGUGGACACAGAGACAUGGACGACUCAACACUUGAUUUUCAAGAAUUCAAAAUCUAUGCAGGACAACAAAAGUCGGAAGACUAAUAAGUGGCUGGAACGUAAUAUUAUCAUCAACUAUCCAUAGAUUACGGCGAUAUCGAGUAUGAAGAACUCGGUAAAAUAUUAAAUUCAUUAAAGUUCAACUGCAUUUACGUCAAAGGAGAACAGACAAAACAAGUUCUUAUGGAGUAUAUACCGCACGUAGCACUCAUCAACAUUGAAGACUUGGGCUGCCCUCGAUUAGAUCAAAUAUGCGAUGACGAAACUUUACCUUGUUGUAUUUUUCAUAUGGAAUUUAAUCCUAAACAGUGUACAUUUUAUAAAGUUUUUGCUAUAACAAAAUGGUUUGUAAAUAAUUCUUAAAAAUAUAACAAUAAACAUAAUAAUAUUUAACA